rnacentral:misc_RNA from 1 species
UUAAGUUCAGCGGGUAUUCCUACCUGAUCCGAGGUCAACAUUCCAGAAGGUUUGGGGUGUUUUACGGACGUGGCCGCGCCGCGCUCCCGGUGCGAGUGUGCAAGCUACUGCGCAGGGGAGGCUGCGGCGGGACCGCCACUGUAUUUCGGGGCCGGCACCGGUGAGGUGCCGAUCCCCAACGCCGACCCCCCGGAGGGGCU